UGGUAGGAUAGCAAGAGUCAAACUUGAACAUUUCACUCCAGACCUUCAUUGAAGACUGUUUAUUGGAAAUUGGUACAGGAAUUUGUGAUUCUCAAC